UGCAGGUGGGAAGGGUGAUCAGGCCUUCAGCUGACAGUUUCCUGGAGUCUCCAUGCUUAGUCACACGUUGCAGCUUUUUGCUCCCCGAAAAUGGUGAAGUCCAUCUAUAGUCUAACGACAGUCUCUCCUGCUUUAAUUGGGUCUAUUUGUUGGGCCCUCUGGGAUAUGGAAAAACCACUUGCUCAGCUUCUCCUUGUAAAUUCCUGGCUGGCCACUCAGUAUUCCUUGUCCCUGGCCUCGCAGCCCACCCGGGAAGCCACAGUGACCAGCCACCAGGUGUGCCAUCACGGAGGAAGUCCAGGUUGGAGAGGUGGUCUCCUUCUGUGAGCAGGUCCACCUCUCCCCCCACUGAGGCCCCUUUCUGCCUGUGACAGCCCCACCUCAAGGGCCAUGGCACAGCCAUCAGCUCCAGCUGCCAGCAUGCUACUGCCAUGCCCCGAGUGUCCAUCUGGGCCCCGGUUCAUGACCUGUUGUCUUUCUGUAUCUACUUUCUGCAGCCCCUCACUGAGGAGGCCUCCUGGGUUUGUCCAGUGCCUGCUAUUAAAGCUUUGCUCCAAGUUC
ensembl:lncRNA novel transcript